AGAGUUUGAUCAUGGCUCAGAACGAACGCUGGCGGCGUGCUUAACACAUGCAAGUCGAACGCGAAAGUUUUCUUCGGAAGAUGAGUAGAGUGGCGCACGGGUGAGUAACGCGUAAAUAAUCUACCCCUGCAUUCGGGAUAACCCACCGAAAGGUGUGCUAAUACCGGAUACGUUCUUUUUAUCGCGAGAUAAAAAGAAGAAAGGUGGCCUCUGAUAUAAGCUACUGUGCGGGGAGGAGUUUGCGUACCAUUAGCUAGUUGGUAGGGUAAUGGCCUACCAAGGCAACGAUGGUUAGCGGGUCUGAGAGGAUGAUCCGCCACACUGGAACUGGAACACGGACCAGACUCCUACGGGAGGCAGCAGUGAGGAAUAUUGCGCAAUGGGGGCAACCCUGACGCAGCGACGCCGCGUGGAUGAUGAAGGCCUUCGGGUCGUAAAAUCCUGUCAGAUGGAAAGAAAUGUAUAUGUAUUAACAGUAUGUAUGCUUGACGGUACCAUCAAAG
rnacentral:rRNA from 1 species